UUGGAUUCAUUUCCUAAAGGAAAAAUAUUGGAAGAGGGAAGCAAAUAGUAAAAUCCCAGCAACGAAAACAAGGGCACGUUCAAAAUUUGGUGCUUCAAAAGGAUCAAACACUUGAUAUUUUCAUCUCAAAGUUUGUUCAAUUUCCCACCUGUUUGGAAAGCUUUGGAUUGAUCCCUGAGGUUUGGAAAGGCUCAAAGAACUUGCUUACAAUCUUUUGCAGCUUUCGCGUAACCCCAUAUGUGGAAAGGACAAAGUAAAGACGAAAUACAUGAUUGGAGUUCUUUUAACUCCGAUAUUAACCUCCCAACUCCAUUUCCCUUUUCUUCAACAACUCCAUGGAACUCUGUAAGCAUUGAGAAGGUGGUGUUUCCUUCAAAACAAUAGCUUCUAAGAUGCAGGUAAACAAUUUACAAGCAUAUUUAUCAUGUUUCAAAAGCUUUCAUAAUAAUAUAGACACAUAUUUCGGUACGAGUAUGGAUCAUGAAAACUUUUCCUCAAAAAAACAAAGAAAAAGAAAAAAACAUGGCCUGAGCUUUCCUUUCAUAAAAAAUUACAAAGAUGAUUAAUAUAUACAAAGUACUUAAAUUUGAAAAUUAAUACCUACUUACUAGAACUAUUCAUUGAACGAGCUACCAGGCUCAAAGGCUCGCUUAAAAUUUGGGAGAAUUUAGGCAAAAAU
rnacentral:lncRNA from 1 species